ACGGAGGGAGCUAGCGUUGUUCGGAAUUACUGGGCGUAAAGCGUACGUAGGCGGUGAUUCAAGUCAGAGGUGAAAGCCUGGAGCUCAACUCCAGAACUGCCUUUGAAACUAGAUCGCUAGAAUCACGGAGAGGUGAGUGGAAUUCCGAGUGUAGAGGUGAAAUUCGUAGAUAUUCGGAAGAACACCAGUGGCGAAGGCGGCUCACUGGACGUGUAUUGACGCUGAGGUACGAAAGCGUGGGGAGCAAACAGGAUUAGAUACCCUGGUAGUCCACGCCGUAAACGAUGAUAACUAGCUGCCAGGGUUCACAGAACUUUGGUGGCGCAGCUAACGCAUUAAGUUAUCCGCCUGGGGAGUACGGUCGCAAGAUUA
rnacentral:rRNA from 1 species